GCGCGGCGAGUGUAGUUACCGAUGGUGGUGAUGACGGUGAUGGCGAAGUAGAAGGAGCCGGCGAAGCGCCACUGCACGCCGGCCUUGUGCGGCUUGAGGCGCAGCACGACGCGCUCCAGCUCCUCGUAGCCGCCCUCGCUGAGGUUGUAGCGCGCCCGCAGCUCCAGCUGCCGCAGCUCCAGCCGCUGCCGCUCGAUCAUCUCCGGCUCCGACUCCAGUGCGUCGAACACCGCGGCGCCCACCAGCAGAACUUCUGCAGUCUCACCCUUGAAGCAGGGACACUGGAGGGACUCAGCCAUUACUGAGAUCACAGGCAGGCCAACGGAAACAGAAAUAGGCAUAUGCUGGUGCUCCUGACAGCAGAGGGAUGGGGCCACCCGGCCCUGCAGAGGCGGCCACGGACAACUAUUGGAGUGACUGUCAGAGUUCUCAGUGAAGCAGGAUUCAAUCCGUGAUCAGUCUGGCUCCAGCCUGUGCUUCUCCCUCUCCGCCACGCUCCCUCACUAGAAAAUGACUGAGGGCAGAGCCAGGCAACAACAGGGGAAUCAGAACAGAAGGUGCUGUUAACGCUGGGCUGGCACACAGCUAGAGCUCAGAAAAAUGCAGUCACAUGAAUGAAUGAGGAGCUCUGAACGGAAGGCGCCGGGCAGGUCCAAGAAUCAGUACCAGCGUUUCCCAUGGCUGGACAGAUGCUCAGCUUCAGGUGGGAAGCAGGUCCUAGAUGUGAGCAAGACCUGGUGACUCUAGCUCACACAGCUGCUCAGGGACAAAACCAUCAGGGAACAGCUCUGGACCCACUGAAGGUGGAGAUGAGGAAGGGAGGCAGAGCUGUCUUGGCACAGAGCUCGGGCACCCAGCCCAGGCAGGGACUCAGAAGGUCUCCGUGUCUGUGCAGAGCCAAAGGAUAUUGUUGGGGCUUUGAGCUGGUGCCUGAAGAAGAAUGGCUAUCCAGGGGCCCUCAGAGACCUGAAGGGGAUGGGGUCAUCCUACCCAUAUGGACCAGGGUUGCCACUGGGAGGGGCCCAAGGUGGGGGUGGGAUAUCCAGGCCAUGAGAGCAUAGAUCUCUGCUCAUCCAGAGAUGAUACGUGUGGUCCAGUGAACCAUAGAAACCACGGCAUGUCAGGGAGAUGGAGGUCAGCUGGGAGGCAGCGCUCAGGCAGAAGGGCACAGCCAUCAGGGACAUGGAAAAAGUGAUGUCGUUAAGGAACAAUGUGAGCCAAAGGAAUGAGCUGUAACUGGCUGGACCUGAAAGGACAAGUGGGAAAGCGGCUGCCAGACGCCCAUGGGUGUCUGAUGAUGGCCUGCCACUACCCUGGGGAAGGGACUGAGCCUCAGCCCCGAGGCUUAGAAGAAAGUUACCCAGCAGGCCUCAUGGCCCUUCUCUGCCUUUAUUACUAUGCCCUUCACCCCUUGGUUUGUUAAUCAAUGAGUGAUAAAUCGAGUCCCGAAAGACCUCCUGUCCAGACUGCACUGCCCUGAUUUUCCAGAGAAGAUCCAAGAAGGCAGCAGGAGGAUGAAGACUGAGUUCUUGGUCAUGCAAGAUGGCCUAAGUCUCUCCCCUACCCCAGCUUCCAAGAGGGGAGUCAUGGCCUCUUCUCCCCAAGAAAAUGGGACAAGGAGGACACUGACUCAGGCUUCUCUUUCCUCCUUUGGGAAGAGCUGGGAAAAGCCAGUCCAGCCCUGUAGCCCCAAAAGAAAGCCAGCUUGAGGCUGAGGAGGCCUGGCUGGGAGAGAGACUCCUUGGGCCUCUCCUGGAAUGGUGAGCUGUGGAAAGCCCAAGCAGGGGUCUCAGCAGCGCUGAGAAGUCUAGGACCUGUCAGGAGGGGAUGCUGUGUGGUGAGGACCGAGCUGAUCCAGAGUCUCUAACAGAUGAUGAAGCAGGCCUAACUAGGGCCAGGGCCAGGCUGACGUGACCCCAGCGUGUGGAUUUCCUUGCGCUCCACCCCCAUGCUGUUUCCCACCGAGAAAAAUGUUGUUUGUUGGCAUCAAAAUCCCUGGGACCAUGUUUAGGGUGGAUGGGGACCCCCAUCUAUUCUUUUGCUACUCUGUGAGGUGCAACAUCUUCAUAAGGGGGUUCUCACCUGGUAUUUGGGGGUAAAGGACCUUGUAGGACUGAAGGAGUAGGGCUGUAAAGGGUAGCUGAUUCCCAGUGGCUUGGUUGGGGCAGACAAAUGGCUACAUCAAGGCCUCCAUCCAAUUGCCAAUGAGAUUGCCAGAUAUGUGCAGACAUGUGCUUCCCAAGCUCGGGUGUUUUCUUUAUCAUAUCUGUCCAUAUGUGGUUAUGCGGUCUUCCCCACUCCUCCACAGAUGACAGAUAGCUUUGGGGCUUCCUCAGACAGUAGAUGGGCGUGGCAGUACCCACACAAUCCCUACAACACACUGUGGUCUCUCUCCUCUCUGUAGACACCAGAGUCCUUACAAAAUGUUGUGGUUGUCCCUCCACUGUCAGACAGGUCCCCUCACGGCUCCCAUUAGCAAUCCUGUCUUACCUCUGAUGUCUGAGCCCUUUGUCUCUUCAGGCCAGCUAUCUUUCCAACAGCUGGGGGAAGGACAGAAAGGGACACUUCUGGACAGAGGCUGAGACAGAGCAGGGAACUGUGGCAUGGAGCUGGCCUGAGCCUAGGUCAGGUUCUAAGCAUCCCUGUCCUCAGGUCCAGCAAGUGAGCUCUAGGGCUGCAGGGGUAGGGCAGCAGGCUGAGAAUCACUGUUCUGUUUUCUUAAGCUCCCAGCUGGGACUAGGAACACCAAAUCCUCUUUGAAUAAAACAGAAAAGGGAUUUAAAAAAAUCAAGACAUUAACCUUGUGAAACCAGACCGCCCCUCUCACUCCCCCCCCCCGCCACCCCCUGCCACAUAGAGAUUAACUUCU